UGUAUAAUAUUAUUUUUAAUUUGUAUUUGUUUUUUUAAUCCAUGAUCUGUUUUAUCUGUAUUUUCUUAUCUGUGUCACUAUUCGAAGCUUCAAUAGUUCUAUUUUUAUCCAAAGUCAACAUUAACAAGUGGGUUUAUAGAAUAAUAAAAAAGCUAAGUUUAGUCGACUCUCUGGAUUAGCUUUUAACCUAUCGGUUAAUGACGUUCUUUUUUGGCGGGUGGACUCGGAUGUGCUUAAGCAACUUGAUCAAAUUGGUUUCGACACUUUCUUGCUUACAGUUACAUUUAAAGAAUAAUAAUUGGAUUUGCUUGAUAUAAUAUUUUUUUUUUUUUAGUAGAGUCUUACUAGUCACACGGAUCUGACCUAACUGUCUCUGAAUUAAUUUCAACCUCUGAAGUCGCACUUACUAGAAAAUCAAUAAAUUCUGUCACAGAGGGAAACCAUGAAAUAAUCAUUAUUAAUUAAUUAAUUUUAUUUUUCAAUAUGAUCAUUGAUUUAAUUGCGACAUCUUAAUUCUUAAUUUUUUCUUUCCAGCAACCAUUAUCCAAUAAGUAAUUACAUCAGUUCCAUUUGAUUUUUUUUUCCUGGAUACUAAUAAAAAUGAUUAAUUCUAUUCUAGCUAUAUAGAUUUAAAUGAUUUUUGUGUUUGACGUCAAACAUGGACUGAUAAAGCGAGUGUUCUUCUGUGAAAACUUUUACAUCACAUAUUUUAUGGUUUAACACGGUUCAAACAUUAUUAUUAUAUUUUUUUGACUGAUCAAACAUUAAUUUACCAACAAUUACAUUUGAAUAUUUGAGCGAAUAAGAUUAGGUAUUUAAAAUAGAUCGGAU
rnacentral:lncRNA from 1 species